AAGUAAUUUAACCGAAGGUUUCGUUUGAUAUCUCGAGACAAAAUUUACUGCAAAAGCAAUGUCGGGACGAGUCCAGGACGCGAUAUAUAGUAGACAACCGAUCAUGGAACGUAUCUGAAACUCCAAUCCAAAAUCAACAUUUGCUUUCUGAAAGCUCAAAUCAUCCAUAGGCGAUGCCGUUACGUUUGCAGACUCCAGACCGAAUCGUACCAGCAAUGACUCAAUGUAGUCAUUCUGAUCAAUGGUGAACCCAUUCUCGAUUUACAACCUCCUCAAUCAAUUCAUCGUCAAAUCCGGAUAUCCACAGAUCAUCCACAUAUACAGCCAGUACACAACGAAGUGAAUUUCCCUCAAAAACAAACAACGUAGCAUCAAACACCGUUACGCGCAGGCCAAUUUUAGUAAGUAUCCGAGCAAGCUCAUUAUACCACGUGACAGGUGAGAUGCGUAGCCCGUAAAGAGCUCUUAACAGUCGCCAGACUGGAUUCUUCAACCUGCCACGAUAUCGAAAACCCUUCGGCAAACGUACAUACACUUCGUACUCUAUUUUUCCAUACAGGAACGCGCCCUUAAUAUCAACGUGCCGGACUUGCCAGCCAUACUUCGCCGCAAGAGUAAGAAGCGCUUUGAUGGUAUCUGCGCGAACAACUGGAGAAAACACAUCGAAAUUUUCAAAUACACGCCCUUCCUGAUACCCUAGAACGACCAAUCAAGCCUUGAAUGUAUCGGCAUCUUUCUUUCGGUUAGAAAACUCUUCAUUCAUGGCGAUUUUCCACUUCUCUUUAUCUUCACACGUAAUCGCUUCUUCAUACGACAAAUUAUUUUCACCGAGAGCCAAGAAUGCAGUUUCCACCGGUACGAGCUCCUCUUCCUGGAUAUACGCAUCUUCGGCAACAACCCAAUUCACCAAGUCACCGUACUUGACGGAUUCGUCAAUUUUUACGUGCGUGAAAACGUCGGUGGUAUCAUCUUCUACGUUCAACAACUUGAAACCUGUCUCUGUAUAGCCGACCACUACGUACGUUGCCUUCCGGCAUCUCUCAUCAAUUUUCUUUCUCUGCUCCGGAUGGAUGAAUACUCUCGCUAGACUACCGAAGGUACGAACGUACUUGUAAUUUAUCUUUUUAUUUCUCCACAACGUAUACGGAGUACGUUUAUCAUCCAAAGCACGCGUCGGAAAAUUGUUAAGAAGAUAAUUUGCCGCCUCCACUGCAAAAUUCCAAUGUUUGUGAGGCAUACGCGCCUCAAAUAAUAAGGCCCGCGUCUUGUCCAUGAGAGUACGGUUGAACCUCUCAACUUUUCCGUUGUGCGGGUGUAACAGCAGCCACUUCUAUUUAUGAAAUAAAUAGACGACGAACUUCAGGAACAAAUAAAUAAUAUAUUCAAAAGGAAACAAAUAAUAUUAAAUCAUACAAAAUCGCAUCAAUUAGCCAUUAACAAGGAACACGCAAAUAAUACAGUACGUACAGUACAACGAACAUCAAGCAAGUGCGGUGAGUCGAGUAAACGCGAGACGCACGUAGUAGGCUUAAGGCCUGGUUUACACAGAGCAAGUAAACGAAUAAUCCUAAGUGGUAGGGAGCGCAGCCUAGCGGCCACCAACACUCCCUCCCUGCGCUCGAUAGCGCUUAAACAACGUAUUUACAGCUUAAACAAUAAA